UACAUGCAGUCGAACGAACUCUGGUAUUGAUUGGUGCUUGCAUCAUGAUUUACAUUUGAGUGAGUGGCGAACUGGUGAGUAACACGUGGGAAACCUGCCCAGAAGCGGGGGAUAACACCUGGAAACAGAUGCUAAUACCGCAUAACAACUUGGACCGCAUGGUCCGAGUUUGAAAGAUGGCUUCGGCUAUCACUUUUGGAUGGUCCCGCGGCGUAUUAGCUAGAUGGUGGGGUAACGGCUCACCAUGGCAAUGAUACGUAGCCGACCUGAGAGGGUAAUCGGCCACAUUGGGACUGAGACACGGCCCAAACUCCUACGGGAGGCAGCAGUAGGGAAUCUUCCACAAUGGACGAAAGUCUGAUGGAGCAACGCCGCGUGAGUGAAGAAGGGUUUCGGCUCGUAAAACUCUGUUGUUAAAGAAGAACAUAUCUGAGAGUAACUGUUCAGGUAUUGACGGUAUUUAACCAGAAAGCCACGGCUAACUACGUGCCAGCAGCCGCGGUAAUACGUAGGUGGCAAGCGUUGUCCGGAUUUAUUGGGCGUAAAGCGAGCGCAGGCGGUUUUUUAAGUCUGAUGUGAAAGCCUUCGGCUCAACCGAAGAAGUGCAUCGGAAACUGGGAAACUUGAGUGCAGAAGAGGACAGUGGAACUCCAUGUGUAGCGGUGAAAUGCGUAGAUAUAUGGAAGAACACCAGUGGCGAAGGCGGCUGUCUGGUCUGUAACUGACGCUGAGGCUCGAAAGUAUGGGUAGCAAACAGGAUUAGAUACCCUGGUAGUCCAUACCGUAAACGAUGAAUGCUAAGUGUUGGAGGGUUUCCGCCCUUCAGUGCUGCAGCUAACGCAUUAAGCAUUCCGCCUGGGGAGUACGGCCGCAAGGCUGAACUCAAAGGAAUUGACAGGGGCCCGCACAAGCGGUGGAGCAUGUGGUUUAAUUCGAAGCUACGCGAAGAACCUUACCAGGUCUUGACAUACUAUGCAAAUCUAAGAGAUUAGACGUCCCUUCGGGACAUGGAUACAGGUGGUGCAUGGUUGUCGUCAGCUCGUGUCGUGAGAUGUUGGGUUAGUCCCGCACGAGCGCACCCUAUAUCAGUGCCAGCAUAGUUGGGC
rnacentral:rRNA from 2 species